GUCUUUUAGAGUAUAAUUUAAAGUCUAACCUGCCCACUGAAUUAAUUUGAAGGGCCGCGGUAUUUUGACUGUGCAAAGGUAGCAUAAUCAUUAGUCUUUUAAUUGGAGGCUUGUAUGAAUGGUUGGAUGAAACAUUAACUGUCUCAAUUUAAUUAAAUUAGAAUUUAAUUUUUAAGUUAAAAAGCUUAAAUUAAAUUAGAGGACGAGAAGACCCUAUAGAUCUUUAUAAUAAAUUAUUUAUUAUUAAUAUAGAAGAUUAAUUUGUAUUAAUUAAUUGAUUAUUUUAUUGGGGUGAUAGAUAAAUUUGGUAAACUUUAUUUAAUAUAAACAUUUAUUUAUGAACAUUUGAUCCAUUUUUAGUGAUUAGAAGAUUAAGUUACCUUAGGGAUAACAGCGUAAUUUUUUUAGAGAGUUCUUAUCGAUAAAAAAGUUUGCGACCUCGAUGUUGAAUUAAAGGUUAAUUUUAGGUGUAGAAGUUUAAAGUUUUGGUCUGUUCGACCAUUAAAUC
rnacentral:rRNA from 1 species